rnacentral:lncRNA from 1 species
GGCUAUAUUAUCCGCAUUUUACAACUUUUUUCAACGAAACUUCGGAAUAUUACUUAUUCUGCAAUGCUCUUCCAAGCUGUGAUGAAAUUUUUGUCCAGGCUAAUCUAGAUCAAAAUUUCAGUGAAAAGGGGAAAGGUCUGUUAAGAUCUAAGCCUGACCCCGAGCUAAGCGGAAAAGUAGAAUACGAGUGCGAAAGCUUAACACACUAAAAUGCGGUACCCUACAAGUGCAAAUAAAACUGCCGGCGUUUAUGGCCCACAAGUAUUAAAAGUUAUAUUUUGUAGUACGCUACAUUCUUCUGUUGGCCGCCAGUUUAAAACGUCCAAACUAAAAUAUUUAUGGGCUUUUGGGAUCAAAAUAUUAUCAAAAUGAAGAGAGAAGUGAGACGAAUCCACUGGUAUACGGCCGAAAAAGAGAAAACCAACGAUACCAAACAAAGUUAUCAAGGAUCAAACAUAUUGCAUUUUAUAUAGUUUGAGCGAUUUAUCAACAAAUAAUACAAUUUCGCUUGGCUUUCAAAGACAAAGGCCAUAAAUCGCUAGAAUACUGUUGUCAGUUGUUUAGUAAUACAUUUGACACCCGUAGGUACAAUUUCUCAUUCGUGUAUAAGUACCAUUUCUUACGUUGAAUCGAACGGUGGUAUUUUUAUCCACCAUUACUUAUUUAUUAGGCAUUACAAAUACAAGGUCAAAUACAAGGUCGGACAAACGGCGAGUAAUUUGUCAACAAUAAAAAUUUCGCUUGAUUUUCAAAGUCCAUAUUCCAUAAAUCGUUAGACUACUGUUGUUUAGUGAUAUAUUUGGCAUCCGUAAGUACAAUUUCUUACGCUGAAUCGAACGGUGGUAUUUUUAUCCUUAUUGGCUAUUGCGCCAUUACUGUAAUAGGGAUUUAUACAAAUACAAUAUCAUAUUGGGCUAUUCCAUUUAAUAUCCGUACCCCCCCUGUCGAGGAUCCCUGGAAUUCUUCAGGGGUAAAGGGUUUUGAGCUUGGAAUUCUUCAGGGCUAAAGUGUUUUGAGCUUGGAAUUCUUCAGGGGUAAAGUGUUUUGAGUUUGGAAUUCUUCAGGGGUAAAUGGUUUUGAGCUUGGAAUUCUUUAGGGGUAAAGGGUUUUGAGCUUGGAAUUCUUCAGGGGUAAAGAGGUUUGAGAUUGAAAUUUUUCAGAGCUUGGAAUUCUUCAGGGGUGAAGGGUUUUGAGCUUGGAAUUCUUCAGGGGUAAAAGGUUUUGAGCUUGAAAUUCUUCAGGGGUAAAGGGUUUUGAGCCUGGAAUUCUUUAGGGGUGAAGGGUUUUGAGCUUGGAAUUCUUCAGGGGUAAAAGGUUUUGAGCUUGGAAUUCCUCAGGGGUAAAGGGUUUUGAGCUUGGAAUUUUGGAAUUCUUCAGGGGUAAAAGGUUUUGAGCUUGGAAUUCUUCAGGGGUAAAGAGUUUUGAGCUUGGAAUUUUGGAAUUCUUCAGGGGUAAACAGUUUUGAGCUUGGAAUUCUUCAGGGGUAUGACAAUGAAAAACAUGUAUCCUCGACAGGGGGGGUACGGAUAUUAAAUGGAAUAGCCCAUUUCACACUGAGUACACUGCAGUUUACACAGGCGGUUGUUCCAUAAAAUUCGUAUCGAUAUGACACCAAUAUGCUUCUCAGAAAGUAGUUAUUUAUUAAAACUACGUUGUGCAGUUUAAGUUAUAACCUUUUACCUUGAAAUUGUCUUUGGCUCGUUUAUAUUCAGGUUCAGUAUAUUUAUGAUCGGGCUCGGGAAUUCCACGAUACAAAUUUCGGAUUUUCAGAGCCGUGCACCAAGAAAAACGCAUUAAAUAAACUACCAAGAAUGUCCAGAGUUAGACACUAUCCAAAAUCCAUAGAAAACAGGUACAACUGGUUCAAAAUUUUCACAAAAUUGUUUAAAACAUUUUGUCCACUCCGCGAAAGUGCCCGCCAUUUAGAAAAGUAUCAAGCAGCUCAUUAAUAUUCUAUUUUGUGGCUAUCGACGAUUGGAGAUUGGAGAUUGCCGAUCCAUGAUGCCGAAACCUAUACUCGCCCGGGGCACAGGUGCCCCAGCUAGUAAAUAUGGAGAUUUCUGGACAUUUUAUCCCCGAGCCGACGGCGCGAAGCGCCGUGCGAGGGUACUAAUUCCCCCCGGCUAUUUACACCCGGGAAAACGGAAGCAUUAGCGAAGUCUAAAGUUCAUCAAAUAUCGCGGGCGUGGGUCACCAACCGUGGGUGGCCAUCCUCACUGAUCUCAAAGAUAUGACGGACUGUCAUGAAUAGCGAACAGUGUGAUUGGUCCAAUUUAAAGUUUGCAUUAUAACGACUGCAUGAC